AGUGAACGCUGGCGGUAGGCCUAACACAUGCAAGUCGAACGGCAGCACAGUAAGAGCUUGCUCUUACGGGUGGCGAGUGGCGGACGGGUGAGGAAUACAUCGGAAUCUACUUUUUCGUGGGGGAUAACGUAGGGAAACUUACGCUAAUACCGCAUACGACCUACGGUUGAAAGCAGGGGAUCUUCGUACCUUGCGCGAUUGAAUGAGCCGAUGUCGGAUUAGCUAGUUGGCGGGGUAAAGGCCCACCAAGGCGACGAUCCGUAGCUGGUCUGAGAGGAUGAUCAGCCACACUGGAACUGAGACACGGUCCAGACUCCUACGGGAGGCAGCAGUGGGGAAUAUUGGACAAUGGGCGCAAGCCUGAUCCAGCCAUACCGCGUGGGUGAAGAAGGCCUUCGGGUUGUAAAGCCCUUUUGUUGGGAAAGAAAAGCAGCAGGUUAAUACCCCGCUGUUCUGACGGUACCCAAAGAAUAAGCACCGGCUAACUUCGUG
rnacentral:rRNA from 1 species